rnacentral:rRNA from 1 species
AGAGGGGGAUAACCCGGCGAAAGUCGGACUAAUACCGCAUGAAGCAGGGGCCCCGCAUGGGGAUAUUUGCUAAAGAUUCAUCGCUGAUAGAUAGGCAUGCGUUCCAUUAGGCAGUUGGCGGGGUAACGGCCCACCAAACCGACGAUGGAUAGGGGUUCUGAGAGGAAGGUCCCCCACAUUGGUACUGAGACACGGACCAAACUCCUACGGGAGGCAGCAGUGAGGAAUAUUGGUCAAUGGGCGCGAGCCUGAACCAGCCAAGUCGCGUGAGGGAUGAAGGUUCUAUGGAUCGUAAACCUCUUUUAUAAGGGAAUAAAGUGCGGGACGUGUCCCGUUUUGUAUGUACCUUAUGAAUAAGGAUCGGCUAACUCCGUGCCAGCAGCCGCGGUAAUACGGAGGAUCCGAGCGUUAUCCGGAUUUAUUGGGUUUAAAGGGUGCGUAGGCGGCCUUUUAAGUCAGCGGUGAAAGUCUGUGGCUCAACCAUAGAAUUGCCGUUGAAACUGGGGGGCUUGAGUAUGUUUGAGGCAGGCGGAAUGCGUGGUGUAGCGGUGAAAUGCUUAGAUAUCACGCAGAACCCCGAUUGCGAAGGCAGCCUGCCAAGCCAUGACUGACGCUGAUGCACGAAAGCGUGGGGAUCAAACAGGAUUAGAUACCCUGGUAGUCCACGCAGUAAACGAUGAUCACUAGCUGUUUGCGAUACAGUGUAAGCGGCACAGCGAAAGCGUUAAGUGAUCCACCUGGGGAGUACGCCGGCAACGGUGAAACUCAAAGGAAUUGACGGGGGCCCGCACAAGCGGAGGAACAUGUGGUUUAAUUCGAUGAUACGCGAGGAACCUUACCCGGGUUUGAACGCAUUCGGACCGAGGUGGAAACACCUUUUCUAGCAAUAGCCGUUUGCGAGGUGCUGCAUGGUUGUCGUCAGCUCGUGCCGUGAGGUGUCGGCUUAAGUGCCAUAACGAGCGCAACCCUUGCCACUAGUUACUAACAGGUGAUGCUGAGGACUCUGGUGGGACUGCCAGCGUAAGCUGCGAGGAAGGCGGGGAUGACGUCAAAUCAGCACGGCCCUUACAUCCGGGGCGACACACGUGUUACAAUGGCGUGGACAAAGGGAAGCCACCUGGCGACAGGGAGCGAAUCCCCAAACCACGUCUCAGUUCGGAUCGGAGUCUGCAACCCGACUCCGUGAAGCUGGAUUCGCUAGUAAUCGCGCAUCAGCCAUGGCGCGGUGAAUACGUUCCCGGGCCUUGUACACACCGCCCGUCAAGCCAUGGGAGCCGGGGGUACCUGAAGUGCGUAACCGCGAGGAGCGCCCUAGGGUAAAACUGGUGACUGGGGCUAAGUCGUAACAAGGUAGCCGUACCGGAAGGUGCGGCUG